CCUUUCUAGGUGGGAUUAAAAUUUGCUAUUAAACUGGAAAGCAUAUAAUAAGAAAGAUAAAUGAUUACAACUAUCAAGCAUUUCACAACUUCAAGAGGCUUCUUUCAACUUUGACUUUAGCCUUCCUGGAAGAUGUAAAAGCAUUUCAAAGCAAAACUUUGGCUAUACUAAAAUGCUUACCUUUUAAUCAAGAUAGUAGAAAUUCUCCAAAUUGCUAAUUUAAAAGAAAGAUCCUUAAGCAGUUUAAUAUUGACAUUUCACUAAACUGUGUCAGGUUUACUAACACACAUUCAUCAAUGGGUAGGUGUGUUGUUUUCCCCACCCUUCCCUUUAUAACCUCGGCUGUGCCCAAAGUUUUACUUCACAGACUCCCAAAGGAGCUAAGAAAUUGCUUUCUUUUUUAGUGGGACCCUGUGGAUGGCUCAUAAACAGACAU
rnacentral:lncRNA from 1 species